rnacentral:rRNA from 1 species
UACAGAGGUCUCAAGCGUUGUUCGGAUUCAUUGGGCGUAAAGGGUGCGUAGGCGGCGCGGUAAGUCGGGUGUGAAAUCUCGGAGCUUAACUCCGAAACUGCAUUCGAUACUGCCGUGCUUGAGGACUGGAGAGGAGACUGGAAUUUACGGUGUAGCGGUGAAAUGCGUAGAUAUCGCAAGAACACCAGUGGCGAAGGCGGCUCACUGGCCCGAUACUGACGCUGAGGCACGAAAGCGUGGGGAGCAAACAGG